rnacentral:rRNA from 1 species
AACGAACGCUGGCGGCAGGCUUAACACAUGCAAGUCGAACGGUUGUAGCAAUACAGCAGUGGCAGACGGGUGAGUAACACGUGGGAACCUUCCUAGGGGUACGGAACAACUCAGGGAAACUUGAGCUAAUACCGUAUACGUCCGUGAGGAGAAAGAUUUAUCGCCCUUAGACGGGCCCGCGUCGGAUUAGCUAGUUGGUGGGGUAACGGCCUACCAAGGCGACGAUCCGUAGCUGAUCUUAGAGGAUGAUCAGCCACACUGGGACUGAGACACGGCCCAGACUCCUACGGGAGGCAGCAGUGAGGAAUCUUGGACAAUGGGCGCAAGCCUGAUCCAGCCAUGCCGCGUGAGUGAAGAAGGUCUUCGGAUUGUAAAGCUCUUUUGCCAGGGACGAUAAUGACGGUACCUGGAGAAUAAGCCCCGGCAAACUUCGUG